rnacentral:rRNA from 1 species
UACGUAGGGUGCAAGCGUUAUCCGGAUUUACUGGGUUUAAAGGGUGUGUAGGCGGGCUUUUAAGUCAGUGGUGAAAUCUCCGGGCUCAACCCGGAAACUGCCAUUGAUACUAUUAGUCUUGAAUUUUGUUGAGGUAGGCGGAAUAAGUCAUGUAGCGGUGAAAUGCAUAGAUAUGACUUAGAACACCAAUUGCGAAGGCAGCUUGCUAAACAAAUAUUGACGCUGAGGCACGAAAGCGUGGGGAUCAAACAGGA